CGACAAAGAGCCACCAUCUUACUCCUUUAUAAUCUUACCAACUGAUGUGAGACACCACAAAGUUCCAUGUACUUGGGUAUUGCUUCAAUCAUAUAAAUCAAAAAAAGAAUCCUACAAUCCUAUUUGAGAUGUAGGUGGUUCCAUAGCAGACAAUGCCGAUCGUAGAUAGCGGUGCAUCCUCCUCUCAACAGCCUUGGUGAGCCCCUUUUCUUCCAGGGGUUAUGCAGUAUAUCUUUUGUUAUAAAUUACCACUUUUUAUGG